rnacentral:piRNA from 1 species
UAUAAUUAUCUUUCGGAUGUU